AGUGAACGCUGGCGGUAGGCCUAACACGUGCAAGUCGAACGGCAGCACAGUAAGAGCUUGCUCUUACGGGUGGCGGGUGGCGGACGGGUGAGGAAUACAUCGGAAUCUACUUUUUCGUGGGGGAUAACGUAGGGAAACUUACGCUAAUACCGCAUACGACCUACGGGUGAAAGCAGGGGAUCUUCGGACCUUGCGCGAUUGAAUGAGCCGAUGUCGGAUUAGCUAGUUGGCGGGGUAAAGGCCCACCAAGGCGACGAUCCGUAGCUGGUCUGAGAGGAUGAUCAGCCACACUGGAACUGAGACACGGUCCAGACUCCUACGGGAGGCAGCAGUGGGGAAUAUUGGACAAUGGGCGCAAGCCUGAUCCAGCCAUACCGCGUGGGUGAAGAAGGCCUUCGGGUUGUAAAGCCCUUUUGUUGGGAAAGAAAAGCAGCAGGUUAAUACCCCGCUGUUCUGACGGUACCCAAAGAAUAAGCACCGGCUAACUUCGUG
rnacentral:rRNA from 1 species